rnacentral:piRNA from 1 species
GAGGGCUGCCAUUCAAAGCGUGUG